GUGCCAGCAGCCGCGGUAAUACCGGCAGCCCAAGUGAUGGCCGCUGUUAUUGGGCCUAAAGCGUCCGUAGCUGGCCGCACGAGUCCGUCGGGAAAUCCACCCGCUCAACGGGCGGCCGUCCGGCGGAACCUGUGUGGCUUGGGACCGGGAGGCCUGAGGGGUACGAUCGGGGUAGGAGUGAAAUCCUGUAAUCCCGCUCGGACCGCCGAUGGGGAAAGCACGUCGGGAAGACGGAUCCGACGGUGAGGGACGAAAGCUAGGGUCUCGAACCGGAUUAGAUACCCGGGUAGUCC
rnacentral:rRNA from 1 species